rnacentral:rRNA from 1 species
GACGAACGCUGGCGGCGUGCUUAACACAUGCAAGUCGAACGAGAUCUUCGGGUCUAGUGGCGCACGGGUGCGUAACGCGUGGGAAUCUGCCCUUUGGUUCGGAAUAACAGUUGGAAACGACUGCUAAUACCGGAUGAUGACGAAAGUCCAAAGAUUUAUCGCCAGAGGAUGAGCCCGCGUAGGAUUAGCUAGUUGGUGUGGUAAAGGCGCACCAAGGCGACGAUCCAUAGCUGGUCUGAGAGGAUGAUCAGCCACACUGGGACUGAGACACGGCCCAGGCUCCUACGGGAGGCAGGAGUGGGGAAUAUUGGACAAUGGGCGAAAGCCUGAUCCAGCAAUGCCGCGUGAGUGAUGAAGGCCUUAGGGUUGUAAAGCUCUUUUACCCGGGAUGAUAAUGACAGUACCGGGAGAAUAAGCUCCGGCUAACUCCGUGCCAGCAGCCGCCGUAA